UCCAGGUGUGGAGGUGCCUGCCUGUAGUCCCAGCUACUCGUGAGGCUGAGGUGUGAGGAUCGCUUGAGCUUAGGAAUUUGGGAGCUAUGGUUCACUAUGCUGACAGGGUGCCCACACUAAGUUCAGGACCAAUAUGGUGACCUUCCAGCAACGAGGGACCAACAGGUUGCCUGAAGUGGGUGAACCAGCCCAAGUUAAAAACAGAGCAGAUCAAAACUCCCAUGCUGGUCAGUAGUGAGUGAUAUAAUUUGGCUCUGUGUCUGCACCCAAAUCUCAUCUUGAAUUGUAAUCCCCACGUGUCA
ensembl:misc_RNA Metazoa_SRP Metazoan signal recognition particle RNA